rnacentral:rRNA from 1 species
GUCCCAAGCGUUGUUCGGAUUCAUUGGGCGUAAAGGGUGCGUAGGCGGCGCGGUAAGUCGGGUGUGAAAUCUCGGAGCUUAACUCCGAAACUGCAUUCGAUACUGCCGUGCUUGAGGACUGGAGAGGAGACUGGAAUUUACGGUGUAGCGGUGAAAUGCGUAGAUAUCGUAAGGAAGACCAGUGGCGAAGGCGGGUCUCUGGACAGUUCCUGACGCUGAGGCACGAAGGCCAGGGGAGCAAACGGG